rnacentral:rRNA from 1 species
GACAGAGGGUGCAAACGUUGCUCGGAAUCACUGGGCGUAAAGGGCGCGUAGGCGGACAAGUAAGUCGGGCGUGAAAUCCCUAGGCUCAACCUAGGAACUGCACUCGAAACUGCAUGUCUUGAGUACCGGAGAGGAAAGCGGAAUACCUGGUGUAGAGGUGAAGUUCGUAGAUAUCAGGUGGAACACCAGUGGCGAAGGCGGCUUUCUGGACGGUAACUGACGCUGAGGCGCGAAAGCGUGGGGAGCAAACAGG